rnacentral:rRNA from 1 species
CACCGCGGUUAUACGAGAGGCCCAAGCUGACAGCAGCUCGGCGUAAAGAGUGGUUAGAAAUGAGACAAAGUAAAGCCGAAUGCUCUCUAAGCUGUCAUACGCUCCCGAGAAUCAGAAGUUCUAUUACGAAAGUAGCUUUAUAAUAUUGAAUCCACGAAAGCUAAGAUA